AUCAAAUUGGGUGCCAUCAAUACACUCAAAUAAGGUUAACUUUGGCCUUUCGACAAGUUAUCUCAUCACUUUUAGUAGACGUCUCAGCUGUCACAUUUUUUGUGAAAUGUAGUGCAUCUUACUUCCACCUGACUUAUGCAAAAGUAUAGAACCAAAAUUUAAAAUGAUAUCAUCAUCCAAUAGUACUGACUUUGUACUGUAAUUUGUGGCAGAAAUAGCACGCCUGUUUUUUGUUGUACACCCUCUUACCAUCAUUUCCCGCACAAUAACUGGGCACAUUGAUUUCAGGAUACUUGGUCUGAUUCUGAGUUUGUAGAACAUUUUUGUGAAAUGUAGUACAUCUUACUUCCACCUGACUUAUGCAAAAGUAUAGAACCAAAAUUUAAAAUAAUAUCAUCAUCCAAUAGUAUUGACUUAACUUCAUCUUCCCUCAUGUUAAAACGAGUAUUUUCAGUUUUAACACUAUGUUUACAGUUUCUAACAUGUCGCCAUAACUCAAGCAGUUGAUGCAUGGUAAGUAGUCCUCUGCCACCUUGUUUGACUGAAUCUUCGCAUUACGAUGAGUGU